AGCCGUGUUGUGAGCACAAAAUGAACUAUUCUUUCGUCUUUUACUAAAGAAUAUCGUGUGCUCGCAGCUCAAAACGGCAUACGCCUAUUUUUGAACUAUUUUUGGAGAGUUAAAAGUU